UUGCUUACAAAGAGUCGGAGCCCUUAACACCGCAAGGUGUCGGGUGACGGCGUGCUUUUUGCAGAACGAGCCAACGAGUCUGGAUAUUUGAUUUGUCUAAGCCCUUAUGGGGCGAAGGCGUAGCGAAAGCGAGUGUUAAAAGCGCGAAUUUAUCGAAUAUUCAGGACCCGAAGCCAGACGAGCUUACCGCGAGCAGGAUGAACCCUUGCGAAAGCGAGGGGGAGGUCCGAACUAGUGAGGCGUGCAAUCCUCUUGGAUGACUUGUGGUAAGGAGUGAAAAGCUAAUCGAGUUUGGUAAUAGCUGGUUCUUCCCGAAACAGCUUUGGGGCUGGCGUCUAUCGUCAGAGUACGGGGGUAGAGCACUGAAUAGAAUUCCUUGGAGUUUCUCCAGGUUUUCUAAUCAAACUCCGAAUACCGUAUUUAUUGGAUAGGCAGUUAGACUGCGGGGGCUAAGCUCCGUGGUCAAAAGAGAAACAGCUCAGAUCAUCGUCUAAGGUCCCUAAAUUAAACUAAGUGUUUUUAAGGAAGUAUUUCGCCCUCGACAGGCAGGAAGUUAGCUUAGAGGUAGCUAUCUUUUAAAGAGUGUGUAACAACUCACUGCCCGAACUUCAUUCUUUUGAGUGAGGAGGGGCGAGAUGCGCCAAAGAUUUCCGGGACUAAAGUUUAAUACCGAAGACAUGGAUUGGCACCAUUCGUGGUGCCAGUGGUAGGGAAGCAUUCCAAGGGCAUUGAAGCAGGAGGGUAACCGACUGUGGAGCGCUUGGAAGAGAGAAUGUUGGCCUGAGUAACCGCAUUGCAGGUGAAAGCCCUGCACACCGAAAGUCCAAGGUUUCCUUGGCAAUGGUAUUCAACCAAGGGUUAGGCGGUCCUAAGGUAAACCCGAAAGGGGUAGCUGAUGGACAGUAGAUUAAUAUUUCUACCCUUCUUUAUUUUUUCAAUAAAGUGCGGAAUUUAGUAAAUGAGGCGACUUAUUGGAUUGUCGUCGCUGGUCUGACGCAAGAAGGACAAGCGAGAAGUCGUAUUUAUACGGCGAAUCUCAUCGAGCAAGUUUCCCAGAAAAGCUUUAUUUAAAUAGAAUAAAAAGUUCGUACCGCAAACCGACACAGGUGGACAAGCGUAAGUAUGCUAAGGUGAACGGGUGAAACCUCGUUAAGGAACUAGGCAAUCAAGUGUCCGUAAGUUCGCGAUAAGGACUGCCCCGACCCGUAUGGGUUAGUUGCUGCAACAAAUGACCCAACGCGACUGUUUAUCAAAAACACAGGUCCCUGCUUAACUCGUAAGAGGAUGUAUAGGGGCUGAAACCUGACCAGUGCUGGAAUGUUAAAGGUGACGGUUGUUGUCGCAAGAUGACUGCUGAUUGCUCUA
rnacentral:rRNA from 1 species